UAGCUUGUUGGUGGGGUGAUGGCCUACCAAGGCGACGACGGGUAGCCGGCCUGAGAGGGCGACCGGCCACACUGGGACUGAGACACGGCCCAGACUCCUACGGGAGGCAGCAGUGGGGAAUAUUGCACAAUGGGCGAAAGCCUGAUGCAGCGACGCCGCGUGAGGGAUGACGGCCUUCGGGUUGUAAACCUCUUUCAGCAGGGAAGAAGCGAGAGUGACGGUACCUGCAGAAGAAGCGCCGGCUAACUACGUGCCAGCAGCCGCGGUAAUACGUAGGGCGCAAGCGUUGUCCGGAAUUAUUGGGCGUAAAGAGCUCGUAGGCGGCUUGUCACGUCGGAUGUGAAAGCCCGGGGCUUAACCCCGGGUCUGCAUUCGAUACGGGCAGGCUAGAGUUCGGUAGGGGAGAUCGGAAUUCCUGGUGUAGCGGUGAAAUGCGCAGAUAUCAGGAGGAACACCGGUGGCGAAGGCGGAUCUCUGGGCCGAUACUGACGCUGAGGAGCGAAAGCGUGGGGAGCGAACAGGAUUAGAUACCCUGGUAGUCCACGCCGUAAACGUUGGGAACUAGGUGUGGGCGACAUCCACUUC
rnacentral:rRNA from 1 species